UUAGUCUGAGUGGAGCGAGCGAGCCGAGUGGUUGUGUGGUUGCGUCUCGGAAACUAGUAGCGCUUGCAGCAUGGCUGACCAACUGACUGAAGAGCCGAUUGCAGAAUUCAAAUAAGUUUUUUCACUAUUUGACAAGGAUGGUGAUGCAACUAUAACAACAAAGGAAUUGGGAACUGUAAUGAGGUCUCUUGGGCAGAAUCCCACAGAAGCAGAGUUACAGGACAUGAUCAAUGAAGUAGAUGCUGAUGAUAACGGCACAAUUGACUUCCCUGAAUUUCUUACCAUGAUGGCAAGAAAAAUGAAAGACACAGACAGCGAAGAAGAAAUUAGAGAAGCAUUCCGUGUGUUUGAUAAGGAUGGUAAUGGCUAUGUUAGUGCAGCAGAGCUUCGUCAUGUGAUGACAAACCUUGGAGAGAAGUUAACAGAUGAAGAGGUUGAUGAAGUGAUCAGGGAAGCAGAUAUCGAUGGUGAUGGUCAAGUAAACUAUGAAGAGUUUGUACAAAUGAUGACAGCAAAGUGAAGACAUUGUACAGAAUGUGUUAAAUUUCUUGUACAAAAUUGUUUAUUUGCCUUUUCUUUGUUUGUAGCUUAUCUGUAAAAGGUUUCUCCCUACUGUCAAAAAAAUAUGCAUGUAUAGUAAUUAGGACUUCAUUCCUCCAUGUUUUCUUCCCUUAACUGUUAUUGUCCUGAAACCUUAUUUUAGAAAAUUGAUCAAGUAACAUGUUGCAUGUGGCUUACUCUGGAUAUAUCUAAGCCCUUCUGCACAUCUUAACUUAGAUGGAGUUGGUCAAAUGAGGGAACAUGUGGGUUAUGCCUUUUUUAAAGUAGUUUUCUUUAGGAACUGUCAGCAUGUUGUUGUUGAAGUGUGGAGUUGUAACUCUGCGUGGACUAUGGACAGUCAAUAAUAUGUUCUUAAAAGUUGCACUAUUGCAAAACGGGUGUAUUUUAUCCAGGUACUCGUACACUAUUUUUUUGUACUGCUGGUCCUGUACCAGAAACAUUUUAUUGUUACUUGCUUUUUAAACUUUGUUUUAGCCACUUAAAGAAAAUCUGCUUAUGGCACAAUUUGCCUCAAAUCCAUUCCAAGUUGUAUAUUUGUUUUCCAAUAAAAAAAUUACAAUUUACCC